AUGUAAUUUAAUGCCUACAAUGUUAAUGCAUUGAAUCCCAUUAGAAAUAUAUAGUUAAGUGCAAUUGGGAUAGAGUAUUACUAGGAUGGGUGACCUCCCAGGAACUCCUAGUGUUUUACAUG
rfam:Picea glauca, whole genome shotgun sequence.